GGGGGCGAUCGGUUUCGACGGAAUAUGCAUCUUUCUAAAUGGCAUGUCGAGUCCCAAUAUCUCGUAAAAAAUUGGAAAAACCAUAAAUGCCGAUAACGGCUACAUGGCCGCUGCUUAAGUAAGUGGCCCAUCCUUAGUUAAGAAUGCUCAUGGCUUUACUAAAGGGUGUCAAAUUAAUGAGCUGGUUCUGAUUGAGUCUGCGAUAUCAGAAUAAGAAAUUAGCAGACUGUGAUGGCAAUAGUCGCGUCUGCAGGACAGUUGUAAUCAAGAAUAAUCUGUAAGACUAAGCAUGUAGAUAUUUCUUUAGAUUCUAUUUCGGACGGGAGUUCGAUUCUCCCCGCCUCCACU
rnacentral:tmRNA from 1 species